rnacentral:rRNA from 1 species
GACGAACGCUGGCGGCGUGCCUAAUACAUGCAAGUAGAACGCUGAAGGAGGAGCUUGCUCUUCUGGAUGAGUUGCGAACGGGUGAGUAACGCGUAGGUAACCUGCCUGGUAGCGGGGGAUAACUAUUGGAAACGAUAGCUAAUACCGCAUAAGAGUAGAUGUUGCAUGACAUUUGCUUAAAAGGUGCAAUUGCAUCACUACCAGAUGGACCUGCGUUGUAUUAGCUAGUUGGUGGGGUAACGGCUCACCAAGGCGACGAUACAUAGCCGACCUGAGAGGGUGAUCGGCCGCACUGGGACUGAGACACGGCCCAGACUCCUACGGGAGGCAGCAGUAGGGAAUCUUCGGCAAUGGGCGGAAGUCUGACCGAGCAACGCCGCGGGAGUGAAGAAGGUUUUCGGAUCGUAAAGCUCGGUUGUAAGAGAAGAACGAGUGUGAGAGUGGAAAGUUCACACUGUGACGGUAUCUUACCAGAAAGGGACGGCUAACUACGUG